rnacentral:rRNA from 1 species
CACAAGCGGUGGAGCACGUGGUUUUAAUUCGAUGCAAACCGAAGAACCUUACCUGGGUUUGACAUGUACGUGUUACUGAGGUGAAAGCUGAGGGACCACAUCUUCGGAUGUGGAGCGUACACAGGUGCUGCAUGGCUGUCGUCAGCUCGUGUCGUGAGAUGUUGGGUUAAGUCCCGCAACGAGCGCAAUCCCUGCAUUCAGUUGCCAUCGGUGAGGCCGGGCACUCUGGAUGGACUGCCGGCGACAAGCCGGAGGAAGGUGGGGACGACGUCAAGUCAUCAUGGCCCUUAUGUCCAGGGCGACACACGUGCUACAAUGGCCGGCACAGCGGGAAGCGAAGGGGCGACUCUGAGCGGAUCCCUUAAAGCCGGUCCCAGUUCGGAUUGCAGUCUGCAACUCGACUGCAUGAAGUUGGAAUCGCUAGUAAUCGUGGAUCAGCCAAGCCGCGGUGAAUACGUUCCCGGGCCUU